GCCUCUUUGGCUCAGUCGGAAGAGUAUGGGACUUGUGAUCUCAAGGUAGUGGGUUCAAGCCCCACAUUGAGUG
rnacentral:tRNA from 1 species